CCAUGUUUAUCCCGCUAAGGAGGCGGAUCUGACUGUAAAUCAGAUGGCUUCGGUCACGAGUGGGUUCGAUUCCCUCAACAUGGACGA
rnacentral:tRNA from 1 species